GUCUACAGCCACACCACCGUGCAUGUGCCUGAUCUCAUCUGAUCUCAGAAGCUAAGCAGGCUCUGACCUGUUUAGAGUACUUGGAUGGGAGACAGUGAGGGAUUCAUAACUGAAAUAGACA
rnacentral:rRNA from 1 species